CCCGGCCGCCGAGCAGGCUCGCCGCGGGCUCGCACUUCCGCUGGCGUCAGGCGGCUGGCGGCGGCGAUCACUUCCCGGUGCGGCGCCGUGCUCCCAAGUCCUGCGCCGGCCCGGUGCCGCUCGGUCCCCCGCCCGCUGGCCCGCGGCUCCCGCGGAAGAGCUGGUUGCCCAUCCCAGGAGAGCUUGGAGCCUUCAGUGAGCGAGUCCCGAGUGUCCCGCCCCGAGCCGGCGCGGCGGGACCGCGGCUGCGCGCCACCUGGGACAUCCACGGGACCCCCGUUGCCGAAAUCCCUGUACCUUCCUCAUCUGCCAAGAAAACUUACCAAAUUCUGAGAAAGUCACCUGUGCCCAAGCUUCCCCGACUCUGGGCGCUGGGCGGUCCUGCCCUGACGUUCCCACGACUCUUCGGGAGACCGGGGAGAGCCCUUUCUGCGCUUCCCUGGAUAUUCCGGCCUCUCCUCCCCCGCCCGCCAGAGACCACCUCCCAGCCCAGGGACUUGGUUUGCAUCCCUGCUUCCCGCCCCCCUCCCGGUUCACUACAAAGAUGGUCCCGGAUAACUGCUGGUUCUAUGCAGAAGGCAGAGAGGACGCCCCUGGUUUUUCUCCCUCUCCGUGUCUCAUCACAGCCGCCUCCCCAAGAAGAGUAAGGGAAUUUGUGUUAGUGCGAAGUUUGCGCCAAGCCCUUUCCUCUUUAAAACAGACAUUACUGUAACCGCUUUCGAAGUGAGGCAACUGAAGCCCAGACAGGUUGCUUUAACUUGCCCAAAGCCUCACAGCAAAGCUGAAGAAGCAGAACUGGGAUUGGAAUCCACGUGUCUGACCCCUCCGGCAGGAUGCAGUCUGUUUAACUGGACUCGCUUCUAGACAGAGCCUUUGGCAAAGGCAGUUUAGGAGCUGGAGACUAGAGUCGCGUGGGAACCAGUCCUCGGGAUAUGAGCUGCACAGAAUCUCCCACAAUCUCAGAUGCGGUGUUUAGAGAGAGAGAAAUAAUGGAGCAGGCCCUACUCAGAGCCACGGAAAGUAAUGAGAAGUUGGCUAAGAAAUGUUUUUAAAAACAGCAUAAACAGUAUCGGAUCCACCCAGGAACCUGCUCGGUUGUGGCCUGUGAUCCAUCAGAGGCAGAGGGUAAUCAACCAUGUCAGAUAAUCUAUCAAUUUCAUUUCUUCCGAGAGCCCUCUCUUUCUCCUAGAACUCUCCAAACUGCUGGGAUCUGGGUCCCUCCAGGCUGCCCCUGCACCAUGGCCAUCCUGGCCUCCCCUGGCUACUCUCUUCUGUUGGAUAUCUGGCUUUCUGGGCUCCUCUUUCUUG
rnacentral:lncRNA from 1 species